rnacentral:pre_miRNA from 1 species
UAGAGUUGUCUUAAGUUAAACUAUUUAAAAUUUAACAAACUUUAUAGAGUAUCAACAUCUAUGAAACUAGAUAAGAAAAUAUUUCAUUAUGUAUCUAAUGAAACUUAUUUGGUGUCACAAAUAUAAGUGCUCUUUUCUAUAAUUUGAGUUAAACUUAGGAUAGUUUGACUUCGAACAACUCGAA